rnacentral:rRNA from 1 species
UGGGGAAUCUUGGACAAUGGGCGAAAGCCUGAUCCAGCCAUGCCGCGUGAGUGAAGAAGGCCCUAGGGUUGUAAAGCUCUUUCAGCGGGGAAGAUAAUGACGGUACCCGCAGAAGAAGCCCCGGCUAACUUCGUGCCAGCAGCCGCGGUAAUACGAAGGGGGCUAGCGUUGUUCGGAAUUACUGGGCGUAGAGCGCACGUAGGCGGACCAUUAAGUCAGGGGUGAAAUCCCGGGGCUCAACCUCGGAAUUGCCUUUGAUACUGGUGGUCUAGAGUCCGUGAGAGGUGAGUGGAACUCCGAGUGUAGAGGUGAAAUUCGUAGAUAUUCGGAAGAACACCAGUGGCGAAGGCGGCUCACUGGCACGGUACUGACGCUGAGGUGCGAAAGCGUGGGGAGCAAACAGGAUUAGAUACCCCCGUAGUCC